UACGGAGGGGGCGAGCGUUGUCCGAAGUUACUGGGCGUAAAGGGCGCGUAGGCGGCGUGUCAAGUCAGGCGUGAAAGCCCCGGGCUCAACCUGGGAACCGCGCUUGAGACUGGCAUGCUCGAGUUCGGGAGAGGAUGGUGGAAUUCCCAGUGUAGAGGUGAAAUUCGUAGAUAUUGGGAAGAACACCGAUGGCGAAGGCAGCCAUCUGGACCGACACUGACGCUGAGGCGCGAAAGCGUGGGGAGCAAACAGG
rnacentral:rRNA from 1 species